GAUGAACGCUGGCGGCGUGCUUAACACAUGCAAGUCGAACGAUUAAAGCCCCUUCGGGGGUGUAUAGAGUGGCGAACGGGUGAGUAACGCGUGGGUAACCUACCCCUCGGCGGGGGAUAACUACUCGAAAGGGUGGCUAAUACCGCAUGAGACCACGAGGUCUUCGGACCUUGAGGCCAAAGGCUGCAUCGGCUUGCCGGUGUAGUCACCGGAGGAUGGGCCCGCGUCCGAUUAGCUAGUUGGUGAGGUAAUGGCUCACCAAGGCGACGAUCGGUAGCUGGUCUGAGAGGAUGAUCAGCCACACUGGAACUGGAACACGGUCCAGACUCCUACGGGAGGCAG
rnacentral:rRNA from 1 species